UGCGGGGUGGAGCAGUCUGGUAGCUCGUCGGGCUCAUAACCCGAAGGUCGUUGGUUCAAAUCCGACUCCCGCAUCCA
rnacentral:tRNA from 94 species